UACGUAGGUGGCAAGCGUUGUCCGGAUUUAUUGGGUUUAAAGGGUGCGUAGGUGGUCUAUUAAGUCAGUGCUGAAAUAUCCCGGCUUAACCGGGAGGGUGGCAUUGAUACUGUAGGGCUUGAGUGUAGUCGAGGUAGGCGGAAUUGACGGUGUAGCGGUGAAAUGCUUAGAUAUCGUCAAGAACACCGAUAGUGUAGACAGCUUACUAGGCUACAACUGACGCUGAGGCACGAAAGUGUGGGGAUCAAACAGG
rnacentral:rRNA from 1 species